UAAGAAACCCAUAACAACUUCAACACAUCUGAUCCCAUUAGAUUUUGGAAGCUAAGCAAGGUUGGGCUUAGUUAGUACUUGAGGGAGGGACCGACAGCCAGGGAAAACUAGAGAUAUUUUUC
rnacentral:rRNA from 1 species